UGCUUCUCAUUUCGCUGAGGAAACAGAAGUUCUCAGCAUCCUUUAUGACCUCAUUUCAUGGAAGUUACAUGGUCUGACUUCUGCUGACCCGACUGGUGGAAGCAGUCCCAAGCCCAGCCACAUUCUAGAAAUGGAAGAGAGGCAGAGUUUGUGGCCAUGUUUGAAACUGCCACAGAUGUGAAAGCAGUCAGCACGCCUCUUCAGUGACCCUCUUCUGGCAAUGAAACUAUAGCAUUUCAGGGUGAAGUGACCUCAGUGAGCACAGGGCUGUGGCAUUCCCCAGUGGGCACUGGGCAUGAUGGUGAGACCACUCCCCAAGGAAAUGAACAUCUCUACAUCAUCACCACUUGGAGAAGGAGCUGCUGAUGCGUUCCCUUGAAAACUGCCCUGUUUCCCCUGGAAAGACCUCCAACUGUGUAGCGAGAGGGCGGUGGGGCCCUGGCAAGUUCUUCAGCCUCAAGAUGUUUCAUCUCUCAAAGAAAGUAACGUGGAGGGCAGUCUCCCCAGGUGUCCUUUGGUCUUGAGAACGUCGUCACUCAGUGCUACUUUUCACAUUCCGUUCCGAAUGCCAACCAGGCCCGUUCAUGUUACUUUGCAGGAUCAAGCCGAAAAGGCCAUGUCACUUCAACCAGCUCAGCUUGAGGGCUGUGAGAUUUCUUGCCUCCCAGUCGCUGUGCCCUUUCCUGGUCUCCACCGCAGCAGCAAGGCAGCCCGGCCCUUCACGCUCAGAAACUCUGAAAGAAAACAGCUCCUCCUGGCCUUCCAGCCCCUCUCAACCACAGCUCCUUCGUGCCUGACUGUCUCAUCUGCUCCUGGUCCAUGGGCUUCCAUAAGGAGGCUGAUCCCAGCCCUGCUAUCAAGGGGGACAACGAUGUGACCCAGGCUGCUGCUUCCUUCUGGCCCCAAGGAUUGGAUCUGGGAUUAAUACGGGGCCCAGAGCUACACAAGCAGCCAAAGAGGCUUUUGUUGGAACAUUCAGGAAAGAGAAAUUCUGUGCAGGGAGGCUCUGUAUGGAGACAGCCUGCCUGCGGAUGAAGCUAACAGAGGCCGGCAGAAGUACGAUAGAGGAGAGAGGAUGAGUCCUGAGGACAGUGGAGGGCCCCUGGGUCCAGCUGUGCCUGAUGCUAGAUCGCCCUGGGACUUCUUCGGUAAAUUCUCCUCCUUGGCAUUCACAACGGAGAGUCACAACUAACUCGCUGGUUACCAAUGUAGGAUUCUCCGUGUUCUCUGGAAGGCUCUGCCCCCAUCCACUGUAAUGUGAAUUGAUUUCAUUCACCCCCAAGGUGUGAAAUGUAAGACUGGCUUUCAUGUCAUGAGCCCCCCAACUGUCUCUUUGGCACCUCUAUCAGCUUCCUGUUGCUGCUGUAACAAAUCAUCACAACGGUGCCUAAAAGCAAAGUUGCUUUCCUGUGAUUAUGGAGAUCCGAGGUCUGCUACCAACCUCACUGUGCUACAAUCAAGUUGGUGGCAGGGCUACUUUCCUCCUGAGGCUCUAGGAGAAAAUGUGUUCCUCACCUUUUCCAGUUUCUGGAGGUCACCUAAAAUACCUGGCUCCCAGCC